GGGUUGUGAGGUUAAGCGACUAAGCGUACACGGUGGAUGCCCUGGCAGUCAGAGGCGAUGAAGGACGUGCUAAUCUGCGAUAAGCGUCGGUGAGGUGAUAUGAACCGUUAUAACCGGCGAUUUCCGAAUGGGGAAACCCAGUGUGUUUCGACACACUAUCAUUAACUGAAUCCAUAAGUUAAUGAGGCGAACCGGGGGAACUGAAACAUCUAAGUACCCCGAGGAAAAGAAAUCAACCGAGAUUCCCCCAGUAGCGGCGAGCGAACGGGGAGGAGCCCAGAGCCUGAAUCAGUGUGUGUGUUAGUGGAAGCGUCUGGAAAGGCGCGCGAUACAGGGUGACAGCCCCGUACACAAAAAUGCACAUGCUGUGAGCUCGAUGAGUAGGGCGGGACACGUGGUAUCCUGUCUGAAUAUGGGGGGACCAUCCUCCAAGGCUAAAUACUCCUGACUGACCGAUAGUGAACCAGUACCGUGAGGGAAAGGCGAAAAGAACCCCGGCGAGGGGAGUGAAAAAGAACCUGAAACCGUGUACGUACAAGCAGUGGGAGCCUCUUAAUGGGGUGACUGCGUACCUUUUGUAUAAUGGGUCAGCGACUUAUAUUCUGUAGCAAGGUUAACCGAAUAGGGGAGCCGAAGGGAAACCGAGUCUUAACUGGGCGUUAAGUUGCAGGGUAUAGACCCGAAACCCGGUGAUCUAGCCAUGGGCAGGUUGAAGGUUGGGUAACACUAACUGGAGGACCGAACCGACUAAUGUUGAAAAAUUAGCGGAUGACUUGUGGCUGGGGGUGAAAGGCCAAUCAAACCGGGAGAUAGCUGGUUCUCCCCGAAAGCUAUUUAGGUAGCGCCUCGUGAAUUCAUCUCCGGGGGUAGAGCACUGUUUCGGCAAGGGGGUCAUCCCGACUUACCAACCCGAUGCAAACUGCGAAUACCGGAGAAUGUUAUCACGGGAGACACACGGCGGGUGCUAACGUCCGUCGUGAAGAGGGAAACAACCCAGACCGCCAGCUAAGGUCCCAAAGUCAUGGUUAAGUGGGAAACGAUGUGGGAAGGCCCAGACAGCCAGGAUGUUGGCUUAGAAGCAGCCAUCAUUUAAAGAAAGCGUAAUAGCUCACUGGUCGAGUCGGCCUGCGCGGAAGAUGUAACGGGGCUAAACCAUGCACCGAAGCUGCGGCAGCGACACUAUGUGUUGUUGGGUAGGGGAGCGUUCUGUAAGCCUGUGAAGGUGGCCUGUGAGGGUUGCUGGAGGUAUCAGAAGUGCGAAUGCUGACAUAAGUAACGAUAAAGCGGGUGAAAAGCCCGCUCGCCGGAAGACCAAGGGUUCCUGUCCAACGUUAAUCGGGGCAGGGUGAGUCGACCCCUAAGGCGAGGCCGAAAGGCGUAGUCGAUGGGAAACAGGUUAAUAUUCCUGUACUUGGUGUUACUGCGAAGGGGGACGGAGAAGGCUAUGUUGGCCGGGCGACGGUUGUCCCGGUUUAAGCGUGUAGGCUGGUUUUCCAGGCAAAUCCGGAAAACCAAGGCUGAGGCGUGAUGACGAGGCACUACGGUGCUGAAGCGACAAAUGCCCUGCUUCCAGGAAAAGCCUCUAAGCAUCAGGUAACAUCAAAUCGUACCCCAAACCGACACAGGUGGUCAGGUAGAGAAUACCAAGGCGCUUGAGAGAACUCGGGUGAAGGAACUAGGCAAAAUGGUGCCGUAACUUCGGGAGAAGGCACGCUGAUAUGUAGGUGAAGCGACUUGCUCGUGGAGCUGAAAUCAGUCGAAGAUACCAGCUGGCUGCAACUGUUUAUUAAAAACACAGCACUGUGCAAACACGAAAGUGGACGUAUACGGUGUGACGCCUGCCCGGUGCCGGAAGGUUAAUUGAUGGGGUUAGCGGCAACGCGAAGCUCUUGAUCGAAGCCCCGGUAAACGGCGGCCGUAACUAUAACGGUCCUAAGGUAGCGAAAUUCCUUGUCGGGUAAGUUCCGACCUGCACGAAUGGCGUAAUGAUGGCCAGGCUGUCUCCACCCGAGACUCAGUGAAAUUGAACUCGCUGUGAAGAUGCAGUGUACCCGCGGCAAGACGGAAAGACCCCGUGAACCUUUACUAUAGCUUGACACUGAACAUUGAGCCUUGAUGUGUAGGAUAGGUGGGAGGCUUUGAAGUGUGGACGCCAGUCUGCAUGGAGCCGACCUUGAAAUACCACCCUUUAAUGUUUGAUGUUCUAACGUUGGCCCGUAAUCCGGGUUGCGGACAGUGUCUGGUGGGUAGUUUGACUGGGGCGGUCUCCUCCUAAAGAGUAACGGAGGAGCACGAAGGUUGGCUAAUCCUGGUCGGACAUCAGGAGGUUAGUGCAAUGGCAUAAGCCAGCUUGACUGCGAGCGUGACGGCGCGAGCAGGUGCGAAAGCAGGUCAUAGUGAUCCGGUGGUUCUGAAUGGAAGGGCCAUCGCUCAACGGAUAAAAGGUACUCCGGGGAUAACAGGCUGAUACCGCCCAAGAGUUCAUAUCGACGGCGGUGUUUGGCACCUCGAUGUCGGCUCAUCACAUCCUGGGGCUGAAGUAGGUCCCAAGGGUAUGGCUGUUCGCCAUUUAAAGUGGUACGCGAGCUGGGUUUAGAACGUCGUGAGACAGUUCGGUCCCUAUCUGCCGUGGGCGCUGGAGAACUGAGGGGGGCUGCUCCUAGUACGAGAGGACCGGAGUGGACGCAUCACUGGUGUUCGGGUUGUCAUGCCAAUGGCACUGCCCGGUAGCUAAAUGCGGAAGAGAUAAGUGCUGAAAGCAUCUAAGCACGAAACUUGCCCCGAGAUGAGUUCUCCCUGACUCCUUGAGGGUCCUGAAGGAACGUUGAAGACGACGACGUUGAUAGGCCGGGUGUGUAAGCGCAGCGAUGCGUUGAGCUAACCGGUACUAAUGAACCGUGAGGCUUAACCUUACAACGCCGAAG
rnacentral:rRNA from 1 species